rnacentral:rRNA from 1 species
GAUGAACGCUGGCGGCGUGCCUAAUACAUGCAAGUCGAGCGAACAGACGAUGAGCUUGCUCCUCUGACGUUAGCGGCGGACGGGUGAGUAACACGUGGAUAACCUACCUAUAAGACUGGGAUAACUUCGGGAAACCGGAGCUAAUACCGGAUAAUAUAUUGAACCGCAUGGUACAAUAGUGAAAGACGGUUUUGCUGUCACUUAUAGAUGGAUCCGCGCCGCAUUAGCUAGUUGGUAAGGUAACGGCUUACCAAGGCGACGAUGCGUAGCCGACCUGAGAGGGUGAUCGGCCACACUGGAACUGAGACACGGUCCAGACUCCUACGGGAGGCAGCAGUAGGGAAUCUUCCGCAAUGGGCGAAAGCCUGACGGAGCAACGCCGCGUGAGUGAUGAAGGUCUUCGGAUCGUAAAACUCUGUUAUUAGGGAAGAACAAAUGUGUAAGUAACUAUGCACGUCUUGACGGUACCUAAUCAGAAAGCCACGGCUAACUACGUG